rnacentral:rRNA from 1 species
UACAGAGGGGGCAAGCGUUGUUCGGAAUUACUGGGCGUAAAGGGCGCGUAGGCGGCCAACUAAGUCAGACGUGAAAUCCCCAGGCUCAACCUGGGAACUGCGUCUGAUACUGGAUGGCUCGAGUUCGGGAGAGGGAAGUGGAAUUCCAGGUGUAGCGGUGAAAUGCGUAGAUAUCUGGAGGAACACCGGUGGCGAAGGCGGCUUCCUGGACCGACACUGACGCUGAGGCGCGAAAGCCAGGGGAGCGAAUGGG